rnacentral:rRNA from 1 species
GACGAACGCUGGCGGCGUGCUUAACACAUGCAAGUCGAACGAAGUGGCGCACGGGUGAGUAACGCGUAAUCAACCUGCCCUUCAGAGGGGGACACCAGUUGGAACCGACUGCUAAUACCGCAUACUGAAGGAGGGGAUUGCGUCUGAUUUGCUAGUUGGGGGGGUAACGGCCCACCAAGGCGAUGAUCAGUAGGCGUGCUGAGAGGAGGAACGGGCAAAUUGGGAAGUAGAAACGGCCCAGAACUCUACGGGAGGGAGGAGGUGGGAAUCUUCGGAAAUGGAGCGAAGUCCGACGGAGCAACGGCGCCGUAGUGAUGACGGCCUUCGGGGUGUAAAGCUCUUUUCAUCGGGAAGCGGUACCGGAAGAGAAAGCAACGGCUAACUACGUGCCAGCAGCCGCGGUAAUAC